rnacentral:lncRNA from 1 species
UGGGGAUUACCUGCGUGGAUGAAAAUAAAAGGGGUGAGUUUGGGGAAACUGAGUGUGUAAAUUAACCCAACCAUAGCCUAUAUUAGCUCAAACCACAGAAAUAGAAUAAGUUGGCCUUAGCCCAAAACAGAAUUCAGAAUAAAGCCCAUAGGCCCAUAACAGAACAGAACAGAUAUUACAUGUUUAUGCAGAAACCUAACCAGAUUAUCCAUAACACCCCCGUACCAGCCUUACACCAUGUGGGGAGACUACUCGACCCACCCAACCGCUACACACCACAAAAAUCGCAGCGAGGCUACCAGAUAUUGUGACAAAGUCACCAGAUACAGAUAUUGUGGCAGAGCCACCAUAACAGAUAUAUGUGGCAGAGCCACCAGAUCAGAUAAUUGUGGCAUAGCCACCUGGACGCUUCCUCCAUAGUAUAACCCAAGUCCCCAUGCAACAGAUAUAUAAUCAUGGCAUACAUCAUACAGAAUCAGAUCGUCAUGCUUUUCAGUCAAAAGUAACCCUAGGGGUAUAAUGGUAAUUUUGCAUACAUAGGGGUAUUCAAGUAAUUUAACUAUUCUUAAGGUUUUCAUACAUAACAUGGCAUUUACGUACGAUCAGAAACACUUACCCCGUUUUCUUACCAAUUUGGGCCCGUUGGCCCAUUAUCCCGUUUUUGGCCCAUUAAGCCCAAAAACAUUGAAAUGCACAGAAUCGCGCACUCUGCAGUCUUAUCACUUUAAUUUACCAUAUACAUCAAACUAUUAAUCUCAUGAGCAUUCACACACUCGUAAUAUCUCAAAAUACCGGCUUUUCGGCAUCUCGGCUUUUCGGCUUGUGCCGAUCUAGUCUAUAAGAGGGUGUUAGUUACACACCUAUUUGCGACGAUAUGCUGACGAGAUCCACACACGAACUGCCUACAAUUGGAUUACUAACACGUUAAUCUAACUAUUCAAAUACGAACUACGUAUUAACCUCUUACAAUAUUCGGCCAAUCACACCUACAGAUCAGAGUAAGCUUAUAAGAAAUUAAUAAGCAACUCAUUAACAAAUUUUUGUCAGUGUUUACCACAUAAUCAUAAUUUCACUGCAAGCUGUCUUCCUGAGCAACAGUCACUAAAUCAUUUAUAACUGGAGCUACAAAACUCCAAAUUAAGUUCCGUUAAUUUUCCCUAAAAAUAGACUCGUAUAUAUUUUAUCCAUAAAAUUUUCAGAAUUUUUGGUUUAGCCAAUAAAUACCAGAUUUUUCUCAAAGUUUCUCAUGUUUCACUGUUUGACUAAUCUGACCACUCUUCAUUACGAAUCAAAUUUCUCAUUGUACAGAAUUCAAAAUAUGUUCUUGUUUAUUUCAUUAGAAACUAGACUCAAUAAGCUUUAAUUACAUAAUUUAUUCAGCUUCUAAUUCAUCUCCCACAAUUUAUGGUGAUUUUCCAAAGUCACGUUACUGCUGCUGUCCCAAGCAGAUUUAUUACCAAAUCACUCUUUCACACAUACCUUGCAUGCAUGUUAUUUAAACAUGUAUAUCACCAAUCAAUCAUCACAUAUCUAUGAUUUUACUUAAGUACAAUCUCCAUUUCAUCAUUUUAAAGCACAACAUGUUAGCCCAUUUUUUCCUUUAGCAUCUAAGGCACAUGCAUGCUCAUUUGUUUGGCUCAACUUCACCUAUCUUCCAUUUUUCAUCAAAAGAACAUGAAACAACAACCAUUUCUUUCAUUUUAAUUCAUGACUAAAUGCUCACAACACAACUAAAAAAUCAAAAUAUGCUUCAAGAGUUAAGGUAGAAUCAAGAAGAACUCAUGAACCUCAAAAUAGAAGCAAGGUACCAAGAACUUACCUUCAAUUUUUCUCCUCCUAGUGACCGAAUACUCAAGAGCUUUCUCCUCUCCUUUCUCUUCUCUAACUUUCGGCUAUGAUGAACAAAGAUGGACAAAACUUUAUUCUUUUCAUCCUUUUGUUAUUUUAUUACCCAACAUUUUUUGACACAAAAUAACCUAUAUUAUUUGUGCCAUACCUAUGCCAUAAUGUCAAUAAAAAAAUGCCCAUAAUGCUUAUCAUGCCCAUCAUGGAACAUUUACCUAACCCAUUAUCAAUUUUUUAUCAAUUUGUACCAUAAAUUAUGGAUAUCAAGUGCACAUAUUGUCUUCAACAACAUGAUGCCCGGCCACUUCUUGUAAAAUGGAAGGUUUGACAUGCAAAUCCUCCUAUUUUGCACUACUAUUUAUUUGGCCACUACAAAUUAGCCUAUAGCAUUUUCAAAUAUUUUCAUAUAGGUACUAUUUCAUAAUUUCACUCACAAAUGACAAAAUCAAAGCAUGAAAUUUUGCCAACAUUCACAGACUUCCCGAAAAUUGGGGCGUUACAAUGCAUGGUUUUUGAGAAUAAUAGGUUUGAAUGUUAUGUUUGAAAUAUAGUUAGCUUAUACUUUGUUUUGGUUCAUGCUAAGGUUAUACGUGUUUUUUAUGUAUAAAUUACAUAGGUAUAAUGUGUUGGACUUGCAACAGAGUAAUUUGGAAUGACUAGAAUGUUAAAUGACUUGAAUGAGUUUGUUGGAUGAUUAUGUGUUCUAUGUUAUAUUAAAUUCUUGGUUCUAAAUGCUUAUGUGCUUGAAUUUGUCUAAAAGAAUAUAGAAUCAUAUUGUAUUGAUCGUGUGAUGAUAUUAUGGAAGUGUGUAAAUGUUGGUUAGAAAGCAUGAAAGCAUACCAAUGUGCUAUUUGCCAAAACAUGGGCAACAUUGCGACCUCAAAUUCCUGAUGACCGGGUCGGGUAUGAGGUGUUACAACACACUUUGGUACCUUCGCAUUAACACCGUUAAUUUGUGUUGACGUGACACUUACAACCAAUCACAUGAUGACACGUGGUGGCAUCUUAUUAUGACAUGUGGCAAACAUAAAUAAAAGACAAACUAUUUAAAAAAUAUAAAAUAAUAAAAAAGUAUACUUUUUUUAAUAUAAAGAAUGAAUUGGGUUGUCCAAGUUCAUUCAAAUCUAGACAAUAUGUGUUUUCGGUAAUUUUAGAUUUUUUAUUUUUUAUAAAACAUCAUGUUAUAUAUCUUAUUUAUAUUAUUGUUUUGGAAUCCAAUAAAUAUAUAAUAGAAUAAAAAUAUAUAAUAAAAAAAGAGUUAUUGCAUCAAGAAUGAAUCUGAACAAUUGUUUGUCUAUAUUCAAACAACCAUUUAUCUAAAUUCAUUCUAGAUGUGGUUUUUUUAGCAAUUUUAUACAUUUAUAGAUUUUUAUAAAUUUAUAAAUUCCUAUUUUUAUAUUUAAUAAAUUUAUAAAUUAUAUAUUUUUCAACAUAUUUUAUGCUUUUUUUUAUUUUUAAUUGUAUAUAUUUUUAUAAAUUUAUUUAUUUUCAUUUUUAUAUUUUUUUAAAAGGCUAAAUGCUCAAAUUAAUGCCUAACCUUUUAAGGGUAGUUAAUAUAACGGUCAAACAUUUAAAAAUAGUCAUAUAAGAGCCCAACAUUUAGAAAAAUGCUUAAAUAAAAGCUUUUCACGAACCAAAAUCCAAUAUGUAGUAAAAGAUAGUUGAAUGCUAACGUGUUUAGAAUAAAACACAUAACAGUUUAAUCUUAUAUUUCUUAAAAAGAAAAUAAAAUAGUAAAAACAUAAUUUGAAACAUGAUAUACGACAUUUGAGAAACCCUUGUUCGAGCAUUUUCAAAAAGAUAUGUCCCUUAUUUGAGCAUUUUCAAAAAUGUUUGGCCCUUAUUUGACCAUUUUGAAAGGGUUGGCCUUCGUUUGAAUACUUUUAUAAAGGUUAGGUCAUUAUAUGAUCAUUUUGAAAGGUUAGUUCCCUAUGUGAGCAAUAGAGGUGUCCAUGGGUCGGGGCCCAACCAAAAUUUUAGGCCCGUUUGCUAGGCUCGGGCCCGACCUAAAAAAAUGAGCCUAAAAUUUUGCCCAAGCCCAUUCUAGAUAAAAAUGCUAGAACUCGGGCUCAACCCGCCUGUAUUAAUUUUUUAUAUUAUUAUAUUUUUAAAAAAUAUAUAAUACAUCAAAAAUACUAAAAAUAUUAAAAUAAAAAACUUCCCAACAAAUUGAAAAUAAAUUAAAAAAUAUAUGUAUAUUUAAAUAACUCUAAGAUAGAUGCAACUUAACAAGUGAAUGCCUCUAAAAUAGUAACAAAAUUAAUAAUAAAACAAGAGUUAUACAAUAUCCAAACAAUAACAACAAAAUAAUAGAACCAUAAUAGUGAAAUGGUAGCAAAAUAAAGGAAAAAAAAACAAGAAAAUAACAACAAAACAGUAAUUUUUUUUUUGUAUAUUCGGGCUGGACUUAGGCAAAUAAAAAAGCCUUAUCUGAGGCCCAAUCUAUUUUUAAAUGGGCCUUAUUUUUUCCCAAGCCCAUUUCUCAGGCCUGUAUUUUUACCCAAACCAUCCCACUUUUUGGGUGACCCAACCCAACUCAUGGACAGGUCUAGUGAACAACCCCUAAAAGGUUGGGUCCAAUUUGAGCAUUUAGCCUUUUGAAAACAACAAUAACAUAAAAAAACGUAUAUUUUAUAAAAAUAAAAAUAUAUAAAAUUACUAAAAAUACAUUAAGUAUGAAUUUGGACAAAUGGUUGUCCAAGUUCAUUGUUGAUGUGAAUAAUGUUUUAUAUUUUUUUAUUAAUUUUUAUAUUUGUAAAGUUUCUAUUUUUUAAAAUUUCAAAAUAAUAAUAUAAAAUAUUAUAUUUUUAUUAAAAAACUAAAAACAUAUAAAAUUAAUAAAAGUGCAUCUUGAAUUUGUCUAGAUUCGGAUGAACCUGGACAAUCAUUUGUUUAUUUCAUUCUUAAUAGGGGAAAAAUAUUUUUUAAAGAUUUUUUAUUCAUAUUUUUCAUGUGUCAUAAUGAAAGGUUGCCACAUGUCAUCAUGUGACCGGUUAUCAGCGUCAUGUUAGCAUAAACUAAUAAUGUUUCAACCAAAUAAAAAAAUUAGAUACCGACCAGAUACUUAUGGACGAGUUCAAGGGACAAACUACAUAUAUAUUAGCCCAAAUAAAAACAACACUCUUGGAUACUUGUUCCAAAGUUGUAAUUUAAAUUAGGGUAACUACACUAUUAGUCAUUAAACUAUUAUCGUGUUUCUUUUUUAAUCACCAAGCUACAAAACCUUCAAUUUCGUCAUUAACUUUUUCGAUUGAUUUUGUUUUGGUCACUCUUCGUUAAACCAUGAACGAAAAUGAUGAGGUUGCUUUUUUUAAUUGGCACAAUAACAAGUUUAGUCCUUAAUACUUACACAACCUAUCAGUUUAAUCCUAAUCCUAAACCUCUACGUUUACAAAUUUUAUCAAUUUAGUCAUCAAACACAUAUUUAUCAUAAAUUAGAAUUGUAAAUUAGAUUCAAAACCUAUGAUUUCAAAUAAUACAAAAAUGUCAAUUUCAUGUUAAAAACCUUAUAAAGAGGGGAUAAAUCUCAAAACUUACAUAAACUUUAAUCAAAUGUGCAAUGGUAUACACAAUUUUGAUUUUGUGAAAUUUUAUAUGCAAGAUUUUCAUUUGAUUCAGUUUUCACAAAUCAUAACACAAUUAUCAUUAUAGAACCAUUUUACGUUUACAUAUUGCGUACAUAAAUAAUUAUAUUUUUCUAAUAUAUAAAUAAAUUGAUGUGUUUAUUUCUUUGAAUGUGUAUAGUUGAUACAAAAUUUAACAUUUCAUGCAUGCAUUUGAACCACAAUUAAAGUUUCACAUGUAUAAUUACACUAAAUCAAAAUUCAUGUGCAGUUUUAAUAUUUAUCCUUAAAAAAGUAAGAUGACAUAAGUUCAACAUUCCAGUUUAAUAUGUAAAUAAACAUCAACGUUCAAUAGGUUAAAGUCUUCUGCAAUAGAUGAAAAAGGUAGUGUCUUGUGCAAAAGAAUGGUCUUCGAGUCUUACAACUUUAAGUCAAAGACAUGGUUCAAAAAUGGCUUCAACUUUAAUUUAUACUUGUAUGGUCGACUCACUCUUUGUGCUAGGUUGAUUAUUUGUUUAUAUUUGUGGAGUUAUACCUCAUAUUUUUCCGUUUUUCUUCUCCGUCAAACUCUGUUUUUAGUUUCCCACUUAAACUUUGAUUAGUGUAGGUUAUUUUAAUAGUAGUUUCCCACUUCAAAUCUAAUUAGUGUAGGUUAUUUUAAUCUUAUUUAACCUAUAGAUUUAGCCUAUAAAUAGACCAUUUUUCACCCCAGAAAAAUAACCUAUAACACAUUUAAGUACUAGUUUUUCAAGUUUUCAAACAAUUUUUGUGUUUAUAUUUUGAAAGUUCUUCUUUAGGAUUUUGGGGUUUAAUUUUAUCUCCAUCUUUUGUACUGUUCAUUUUUGUCAUUUUAGUGAAAUUAUCUUUGCUUGUGACUUUUUAUCCUUUCGAAUGAGUUUUUUAAUGUAAAAUAUUUGUGUUUGAUAUUUUCAAAUUUAUUUGUUAUUUUACUUAUUCAUUGCUUAACCAGGUUUAUCCUAAAAAACUGAUAUCAGAGCUAGUUUGAUUUUUGCAAUCAACCCAUUCAAAUAUGGUAGCAUCAAGGUUUGAUGUUUAAUAGUUUGAUGGCAUCGCAAAAUUCAAUCUAUGGCAAGGUCGGAUGAUGACAAUUCUGAUUCAGAAUGAUUCUGAGUAGGUCCUUACAGAGAAGAAGCCUACAAACAUGGAUAAAUUAGAAUGAGAUAGGUUAGAUAAAAAAGCUCUAUCCACAGUUCAAUUAUGUCUAACAAAUAAUACGUUGCAGGAGGUUUUGAUGGAGAAAACGAAAUUCACCUGGUGGAAAGGGUUAGAAACCCUCUACGUAACAAAGUCUUUGGCUAACCAGUUGGUAUUAAAACGUCGUCUAUAUACAUUCUACAUGGACAAAAGUGAGCACCUUAGAGGUCAGAUUAGUCAAUUUAUCACUCUUUUGAAUGGUAUAAAAAAUGUUGAGGUUUAGAUUAAUGAUGAAGAUCAAACUAUGUUAUUAUUGUGCUAUUUACCCUCUUCAUACAAGUCUUUCAGAGAGACAUUGAUUUAUGACGGAGAUAAUCUAUCAUUCGAGGAUAUGAAGGGUCACCUAUUAAGAAAAGAAAAACUCGACAAUGAGUUUGGUUCUGAUAGCAAGCCAAUACGCAAGCCUCAAUUUUGGUAGCAUCAAAGAAGCGAGACAAAAGAUGUCACUAUUGUAAGAAGUUAGGUCAUGUUAAGGCAAAUUGUUACAAACUGCGAAAUAAAAUACUACUGAGAGCAACGAGGAAGAUUUAGUUGGUACUAAUUUGGCCAAUGACAAGGGUGAUGAUUUCUUGUUGGUUUCAACAAGUGAAAGCUUCAAGCUUACAUCCGAGUGGAUCCUAGAAUCGAUGUGUUCUUUUCACAUGUGUCUUAAUAGGGAUUGGUUCUCCACACACAGUUCAAUUGAAGGUGAAGUUGUACGCAUGGGGAAUGGUUCACCCAAUAAGGUAACUAGUAUUGGUACUAUUCAUAUCAAGAUGCAUGAAGAGACAAUUAGAACACUAUCAGAUGUCAAGCAUGUGCCUGACUUAAAGAAAAAUCUCAUCUCCUUGGGAAUUUUGGACUCGAAGGGUUGUAAAAUUAACAUCGAUUCAAGCGACAUUAAAGUAUCCUGUAGGGCUCUUGUUUUGAUGAAAGAUAAAAAGAUUGACAGACUUUAUGUUCUGGAAUGGUCAAUGUACGGUGACUGGUGAAACAGAACAUCCCUCAUCUGUUAAGGAGUCGAAGAUGACUCGUUUGAAGUGAAAACAACUUGGUCAUAGGAGGGAAAAAGGUAUGAUUGUUUCAUGUAAGAUAUGUUCUUUUUUGGAUGUAUGUUUUGACAAGAUAUGGCACUGCGUUCAUGGAAAUCAGACUUAAGUCAGAUUUGAUUUGACAGUGCACAAGUCGAAGACUAGAAGACUUCCAGCUUCGACUCACCUAAUAUCUUGCAUAGUUUGAGAUAAGCUCGUGGCGGGCUUUGACAGAGAAGGCGUUGUGGAAAUACGAGUACAGGUGGAGAUUUGUGGAGUUAUGCCUCGUAUUUUUUUACUUUUCUUCUCAUAUUAAACUUUGUUUUUAGUUUCUCACUUAAACUCUUAUUAGUGUAGGUUAUAUUAAUAUUAGUUUCCCACUUAAACUUUGAUUAAUGUAGGUUAUUUUAAUUUAUUUAACCUAAGAAUUUAGCAUACAAAUAUGCCCAUUUCCACCCUAGAAAAAUAAGCCAUAACACAUUUAGGUAUUAGCUUUUCAAACUUUCAGAGAAUUUUGUGUUUACAUUUUUAGGGUUCUUUUUUCAAGUUUCAAGGUUUAAUUUUAUCUUCAUCUUUUGUACUCUUCGUUUUUUCCAUUUUAGUAAAUUUAUCUUUGGAUUUUUAUCCUAUUCGAAGGGAAUUUCCAUGUAAAAUAUGUGUGUUUGAUCUUUUCAAUUUUCUUUGUUAUUUUACUUGUUCGUUGCUUAACCGAGUUUAUCCUCAACAAUAUUAAAUUAUAGAGUAAAAAUUUAAAAAUUAAAAUAUAUUCUAAGAAAUUUUUUCGGAACCGGAUCAGUGAUCAAACUAGUCAACCCACUUGUUCACAUGGUUCAAUUGAAUAAAUCAUUUAAAAAAGAAAAAUAUAUUAAAAAAAUAAUUCAAUCAAAUUUUUAGCUUGGUUCAACUGGUUUAUACUGUUUGCAAGUCAACUGGCUUUAUGCCUCUCUCUAAAUCGAUGCCUUGACCGGUUCCGUUCAAGCAACCGUGACUCUUAAUUCUCUACACUUUGUAUAUUUGGAAUUUAGUCCUCCUCCUUUUAUUUUUAAGAGUUUAAUCUCUCUACUUAUUAAAUUUAUAAAUCUACUUUCAAAUUAUAUAUAAUCACAUAACAUUUUAAUUGAAAAGUUAACAAUAUUAACUAUUUGAAUUAAUUAAUUACAUUAUAAAAAUAUUAAAGUAAAUAAUAACAUUAUAAAAAUAUAGAGACCAAAUUACAUUAGAAAAAGUAUUAAAUUUCAAAUUUAAGCAUACUAUGACCAAAAUUGAAAAAAAACCCACCAAAAUUGAAAAAAAAAACCACUUUUAUAAAAAUGUAAAAAAAAAAGUCUUAAAGGUGUAAAAAACCUUCAAACUUGAAAAAAAAAUUAAGCCCUUACUCUUUUUUUUGGCACUCAAUUGAGUAUUCAAACUUUCAAAAUGUAUCAAAAAGACCCUCAAACUUUAAAAAAAAACAAUUAAGCCCUUACUCUUUUUUUUUGGCACUAAAUUGCCAAAAUGCAUAAAAAAGAAUCUUUGACCAUAAUUUUUUUAGUUAAAGUUAUCCUGUGUCACAACCAGUGCGUCACAUGUGACAAAAAAUUAUAAAAAAUAAAAAUAAAUAAAGUUAUAAAAUUAUUAAAAUUUAAUAAUAAAUAUAGAAAUAUUUAAAAUUUACUAAAAUUAAAAAUAUAUAUAUAAAUGGUAAAAAAAUAUAAAAUUUUAUAAAAAUCAUAAAAAAUUAUAAAAUACAUCAAAAAGACCCUUUAACCAUUAACUUCAACCGUUGACCGUUAAAGUUAACAAUCUCCAAUUUUUUUCAGUUAAAGUCAUCAUGUGUUGCAACACAACGUGACAUGUGGCGAAAAAUGAUAAAAAUAAAAAUUAAUAAAAGUUAUAAAUAAAUUAUAAAAUUUUUUGGUAUGAUAAUUUUUAUAAUUAUUUUACAAAUUUUAUAUUUCUUUACAUUUUUUUAUCAUUUUCUUACGACUCUAUAAAAUUUUAUAUAUUUCUAUAUAUUUUUAAUAUUUUUUAUAAUUAUUUUUCUAAUUUUAAAUAAAAAUUAAAUAUUUCUUAUAUUUUUAUUAAAUUUUAAUAAUUUUUAGAACUUUUAUUAAUUUUUAUUUUUUUAUUAUUUUUUGCCUCAUGUCACGCUGUGGUUGUGAUACGUGGUGACUUUAACUGAAAAAAAUUAGGGGCGGUCAAAAGGGCUUUUUGAUACACUUUGGCAAUUAAGUGCAAAAAAAAGCUUAAUUUUUUUAUUUUUUUUAAGUUUAAGUGCUUUUUUUAUGCAUUUUGAAAGUUUAUGUACCUAAUUGAGUGGAAAAAAAAAGGAGCUUAAUUGUUUUUUUUUAAUUUGAGGGUUUUUUACAAUCUAAAGCAUAAAAAAAAGCAUUAUGGGUGUGUGCUAGGUGUCAGCACGAUGAAGAUCUUUUGGACCUUACUUUAAUAGAUAGGUAUAGGUAAUAAACCUUGCUUACUAAAAACGGGUAAAAAUAAAUGAAGGCCAUUGUAUCAAGAGUGAUGUAAGCACGCCCAGGUAAGCAUCUUCAAGAAGUUAUUUGGACAUUGUUAGCUCAAUUUUGGAGUGACAUUGAGCUCUAUGACAAAGAAGAAGUCCAAGCCAAUUUGUUAAAGGCUCCUUGCACCUUAGUGCAAGCUGAUCUCAGCUCGUCUCUAGCUCCUCGAACUCAACUCAGCUCCAAUCAGCUCACUUGAUCUUAUUUCAGCUCAUAUUAGCUCAAUUCAGUUUCAUUUCAGCUCAUUUUUUUAAUCAUUAAAUAAAUUAAAUGUUUAUUUUAUUUUAUUUUAUUUAUUACAACUUAUAGCCGAAUAUCCUAGCUCAAAUCAGCUCAUUAAAAUUGUUUUCACUUAUUUGAGUUAGCUGAAUUUAAUGUGUUAGCUAGUCUAAAAUUAAUUGUGUCCCAUUUAGUUUAAUUUGUUAUUUAAGUUGUCUAGUUGUUGUUUUAAUUAUGUUCAGCUGAAUAUGCAUUUGAUUUAAUGUGUUCAUGAAUUUUGUAGGUGCAGCCGAAUUUGAAAGAGCAUUUAAAGUUAGGUGCAUGCACGGCUUGGUUCAAUGUUUGGAAAGAUUCAUGUACGUCCAGGUUCAAGGCCAAGGAGUCAUGAAUGACUUGUUACAUGCAUUUUGAACUGAUUGUUGGCUUCCCUAAACACCCAUUCGGCCAAGGAGUAGCUACCAAUUAAUUCCAAAGUUGACUGAUUAGCUCCCAAGGCAGCCUUGAACAUGUUUCCACCUUGUUUUGACCAAUCAGCUUCUAUACAUGCAUGAAUAGAUGAAUUCAAGAACAUCCAAGGGGGAAUUAACACAUAAAUUCAACCCAUGAAAUUAACAACAUGCAUGCACAAUGGGGAGGACUAAUUUACAAGAUACAUGCUAUUGUUCAUAAACCUACAUUCCAUUAAAGUGACUAUUUAUGAGAAUAAAUGUUCCAUGCAAGUGCAUGAAUGACCCAAUGAGAUGAAUGAAACUUUUGGUGCUCAUACAAGGCACUUGAAGCUUUCUUCUAUGCUAAAAAUUCAUGCACAGGAAAGGGAAAGAAGAAUCUGACUAUUGAAGCUCCAUUCAACCGAAUGUGGACUUAGUCUUUUAAUGAUUUGUUCUAGAAUAUUCAAGUGCAUUCAUAGUCGAAUUACUUAGCCUUUAAGCUAGUUAUUUUUUCUAUUCGGUUAUCAUAUGUUAGGCUAUAAAUACUUAGCAUUUUUUAAUUGUAAGAGACUUUUGCCAACUUAUUGAAUGAACAUUUGUUCUUGUGAGGUUAAAUUCCUCUCCAAUUUCGUACAAGUCUCGAGUGACUUAUCUAGCUCGCUAGUAGCGUCAACCCAAACUUGUUUCUGAACUUAUCACCAAGCAUUGGUGUGGCGUUCAACUAUCUCUCUACCAUCUAUCUUUAUCACCUUAAACAAUAUAGGAACCGGGGUGACACUCUUUAAUGUUGAAUUGCUCCUGAAGUUUAAGUUCGUUUAUCCAUUUCCAUUAUCCUUCUUUGUUUAUCCUAUUAUCUUAAAACCAAGCUAUCCACAUAUCUUCUAACUUUGUCUCUAUCUAGCCAAACCUACUAUCUUAUACCUAGCCACUUUGAACCCACUUCAUUAAUAACCAUCAUCUUAAGGCGUUACAAACAAACCGAUAAUUUUGUGAACGACUCUUCUCAUCGAUGAUCAAGCAACAACGUGAAUUCAACUCCAUCUUCCCGAGCCAAAUCACAUCAAAGAGUUAGAUUGCAUUUUAUCCAUUUUACUCGAAAAAAUGAGUUAAUUAGUCCUUAGAUGUUAGAUAAAAGAGCAAAUUAGUCAUUUCUAUUAAAAAUUUUAUCAAUUUUUACUAUUAAAAAUUGACAUUGCUAAUGAAAUAAAUCGAUAGUUACACAUGGCAUGCCACAUAUACGUCAUUUUGAAAUAUAAGACUAGUUUUUAACAGUAUAAAUUGAUAAUCAAUUUUAAGCUCUACUACCCUAGCACGCUUUUGUCUGCCCUCUUGGCACGAUUUUUUCUAGGUUUUUCUUUGUUAUUUUGUUUCGUUCUCUUAUUUUGGUUGCGAUAGUUGAUGCAGAUUUAUUGGAGUUAUUAGCAAAAGUUAUCAAGGUAUAGAUUGAAUUCGAAUCAAUGGAAACGGAGUUUGUUGGAUCAUCCCUUAAUGAAGAGGAAAAAGCAGUUUUACAAUUACAAAUAGAUCCAGGUUCGAGAAGGGAAUAGGAGGAUUUAUGCUUGGUGGGUUGUUUUUUAACAGCCAUUAACAUACAUUUUCCAGUAAUGAAGAGCACCAUGGCUAAUAUAUGGCAUCCCAUUCGAGGGGUUCAAAUUUGUAAUCUGGGGGAGAAAAGGUAUUUAUUCUAAUUUUAUCAUAUCAUGGAUAUGAAAAGGGUUUUAAAGUGAUCACCGUGAUCUUUUAAUAAUCAUUUAUUGAUUUUACACAAGUUGCAAUGGGGGAGGAUCCAUUAACAGUCCCUUUAAUUUCUACACCAUUUUGGGUACAAGUUUAUGACAUUCCCAUAGGAUUUUAUUUUGAAAAUUUAGCUGUGCAAUUAGGAAAUUUCAUGGAUAUUUUAUGGAAUACGAGUGUUCAAGUUUGGGAAAGGAAAAUAGAAAUUUUGAGGAUACGUGUUUAAGUUGAUGUUCGAAGGCCUCCUAAAAUAAAGAAACAAGUCAUGGUUCGGUGGUAAAUGUUCUUAUGUCAGAUUUAAAUAUGAAAUAUUAAUUUUAUUCUAUUUUUAUUGUGGCAAGUUAGGGCAUAGUGAUUCAUUUUGUAAAGCAAAUAUGAUGUUAGGGGUGGAAGUUACUGAGAUGGGUUGGGACCUAACUCUAUGUGCCCAAUCAAAAAGAGCUUAAGCAAUGAAUAGUGUUUGACUAAGAGGGGAAGAGAGUGUGUUUGGUAGGGUAAAUGGUGGAGGACAAAAUCAAGAAUUUACAGUGGGGGGAUCGCUAAAGAAGAUGAAAGCAUAAAGGCGAUUGACCAUAUACUGGGUUUAAGUUUAGAAGGAAUAAUGCCAUCUCCACAGCUUGGGGGGAAACUUUGUAUCUAGUCAAAUCCAAAACUUUAUGGAUCAUGACUAAGAAGAUACUUUGUUAAUGGGGGAAUAAGGCAAAAAAAGGGCUAGAUGAGUGAUUGAAGAGACUAACACUAUGGCAAAUAGAAAUAGAAGGAUACCGAAAAUCAACCAGUUAUUAUCGGUAGCUGCCAAAAGGCAAGCCGACCAGACGCAAUAAAAAUAUUGACCUGGAAUGUCUGUGGACUGGGGAAUCCACUGACAGUUCGAAGACUUUUGCAUACGCUGAGGUUUCAAAGUCCCCAUAUAGUCUUCUUUAUGGAGACAAUUAAAUAGUAGUCAGAUGGAGAAAGUUCAACGUAGUUGUGGUUUUCAUUAUGGAGUGGAAGUGGAUGCGGUUGGUUCCAAAGGAGGAUUAUGUUUAGCAUAGCGAGGGGCGGUUGAUAUAAAGCUUCAAAGUUAUUCAAUUUGACAUAUUGAGGUGUUAAUUGAAGAUACAGAUGAUGGGAAAAAUAGAGAUUUACAGGGUUCUAUAGCUCUCCUUACACACAUGAUAGGGAUGAAUCAUGGCAUCUUUUGAGACGUUUACGAAAUAAUGGUGAUUACCCUUGGCUGGUUUGUGGGGACUUUAAUGAGAUUCUAUAUGGGUUUGAAGAGAAAGGUGGAUUAUCUAGAGAUGAGAGAAGGACAGAAGCUUUUUGAAAAGUGUUAGAAGACUGUAACUUGAUUGAUGUAGGAUACUCAGGAAGAUGGUUUACUUGGGAGAGGGAUAACUUGCUAGAAACGAAUAUUCAGGAGAGAUUAGAUAGGGGUGUAGUGACUAAAGAAUGGAUAUCUUUGUUUCCUGAAUUGUCAAUUCAACACCUUACUCAUUCCUUUUCAGAUCAUUGCCUUUUACUCAUCUCUACAUAUAGGAGAAAGAGAAGACAGAUUGCUAAGAAUUUUAAGUUUGAAGCUUGGUGGAUUUUGGAAUAUACGUUUUUAGAGGAGGUCUGAAGAAUUUGGGAAAAUUCAAAUGGAGAUCUUUUACACAAGUUGGAGAAUGAGGAAAGAUUUAGAAGGAUGGACAAAGUAGAUUAGCAGAAGUAGAAAGUUUAAAAAGGAGGUGUUCACCUCCAAAUUGUCAACUUUAUUGGAAGCUGAUAGAAACGACGAAAAUCUGGCAGAUAUAAUAGAUACUAAAAUUCUAUUGAAUUUUGAAAUUGAGAAAGAUGAAUGUUACUGGGAACAGAGGGCUCGAAUUAAUUGGUUGAAACUUGGAGACAGAAAUACUGCAUUUUUCAUAAACAAGCAACUCAAAGGAAAAUGAGAAAUCCGAUUCAGAAAAUGCAAUUUGAAGAUGACAAGAUAACAGAAAAAGAUAAGGACAUGGGGGAAAUCGCGAGAGAUUAUUUUCAGAAAUUAUUCUCGACAGUUGCGCAAGGAAAUUUGGAUCAAAUUCUAUCUAGCAUUGAUUGAUGUGUUUCCAAAUAAGACAAUCGAAUAUUAACAUCAAGGUAUACAAAGGACGAGAUAUGGGAAGCUUUAUCAGAAUUAGGUCCCACAAAAGCACCAGGAGAUGAUGGAUUUCCAGCCUUAUUUUAUCAAAAGUGUUGGCCCAUUAUUGGUGAGGAUGUUUUAGAAUUUUGCCUUCAGAAACUGAACAGAGAUAUGGACUUAGGCUUCAUCAAUAAAACAAACAUUGUGCUCAUACCAAAAAUUUCUAGCCCUACCAGUAUUAUUCAAUUUCGACCUACAAGUCUAUGCAAUGUGCUGUAUAAAUUGAUAGGUAAGAUGAUUGCCAAUCGGCUUCGGGUAAUGGUUGAAAAAUGUAUUGAUUUAGCACAAAGUGCUUUUGUACCAGGGAGGUUGAUUUUUGACAAUGUAUUGCUUUCAUACGAAAUACUGCAUAUCUUAAAGCAAAAGAAAUUGGGAAUAAAAGGUCUAAUGGCGAUAAAGUUAGAUAUGAGCAAGGCAUAUGACAGAGUUGAAUGGAAUUUUGUGAAAGAGAUUAUGAAGAAAAUGAGGUUUGAUGCAGGAUAGGUCGAGUCUCUAAUGAAAAGUGUGUCCAUAGUUUCGUAUUUUGUUGUUCUUAAUGGAAAUACAGGGGAAACUUUUUAUCCUUCUAGAGGUUUAUGGCAAGAAGAUCCUUUAAGUCCAUUUUUGUUUCUAUUUUGUGGGAAAGGUCUUUCUAGCCUGAUGAGGAUAGUAAGGAAAAUUCUUAAAUGAGUGAAAGCAAGUCGAAGUGGGCCAUCUAUUUCUCACUUACUCUUUGCGAACGAUUGCAUUCUGUUUACAUAAGCUACUGAAGGAGGAGCGCAAUCUCUCAAAUUGAUUUUAAAAGAAUAUGAAAUAUGCUUAGGACAGUGUGUUAAUUAUGAAAAUUUAACGGUGUUCUUCAGUUCAAAUACACAAGAUGAGGUCAAAACAUCAGUCUCAAGCAUCCUUGGUGUAUGAAGAUCAACAGAUCCAGAAUGGUAUUUAGGGCUUCCAAAUUUGGUGGGAAGGAAGAAAAGAUCGUCUUUCCAAGCUUUAAAAGAUAGAUUCAAACAAAGGAUCCACAAUUGGAGUAUAAGACAUCUUUCACAAUGAGGAAAAGAAAUUUUCAUUAAAGCCAUUCUACAGUCUAUCCCUACCUACACUAUGGCUCGUUUUUUACUCCCUAAAUCCUUGUGUAUCGAGUUGAAGAGAAUUAUAGCUAAAUUCUAGUGGCAAAGAGGUUGAAAUAAAAAAGGAAUUCCUUAGUGUGUUUGGAAGGAAUUAUGUUCGUUAAAAGAAGAUGGUGGACUUGGUUUUUGUGAUAUUGCAAAAUUUAAUAUAGCGUUGUUAGCAAAACAAGGUUAGCGUCUUGUUAAUUUUCCAGAUUCAUUAUUAGCGUGUGUCUUGAAAGUAAAAUAUGUCCCAACUCAGAUUUUUAUAAAGCUCGGUUAGGGAAUUUACCUUCGCUUACUUGGAGAAGCGUUUGGGCAGUAAGAGGUCUCUUGGAGAAAGGCUUAUGCUGAAGGGUUGGAACAGGUGAUAAAAUUUCUGUAUUGGGAUAUUUGUGGAUAUUAGGAAACGAAACAGACUGUUUGCAACAUCAUGGAAAUCAAGAAAACAUCAAGUUAGUGUCAGAUUUAAUAGAAAUCAAUAAUAGAACUUGGAACACAGAUGUUGUAAUGAUUACCUUUCAACUGGAAAUUGAGAGGAAAAUUUUGCAGAUCCCACUGGCAGAGUUAGCACACGAGGACUUUCAAGUUUGGAGGGGGAGUUUUCUAGUGAGUUCUCGGUAAUAAGUUUCUAUAAACUAUUACAAGAGACUAACAAGGAUCCUAAUAAUCUUAAUUUACAGACUGAGACUAAUAACUUUUACAAAAAAUUGUGGAAGCUAUACAUCCCUUCAAAAGUUACAUUAACAUUAUGGAGAAUAUCUUGGAAUUUCAUCCCUUCAUUAGUCAAUCUCAAGCAGAAGAAAGCAGUAGAUAAUGCUCUUUGCCCUCGAUGCCAACAAAAUGAGGAAAACAAUUAUCAUAUUUUUCAGUAGUGUCCUAUGACAAGAGAGGUUUGGAAUCAUUUAAAGCUCUCAUGGGUACUUAAUCAUAAUUACCAGAAUGUGUGGGAAUGGCUUACCUGAGUUUUUAAUUAGGGAACGACUGAACAGAUUCACUAUUUUUGCUGCGGACUUUGGCUAGUCUGGUUCAACAGGAAUCGGUUAAUAUAUGAUAAAAUAAAUGUGCCAGGGAGGGACAUUGCGAAGCAAACUUACAGUUAUAUUUAUGAGUUGCACGGGAUCAAAGAGAAGCGACUUAUUGUUCAGUCUAAUGGAGAUGCUACACAGGAAAGAAGAAAAUCAGAGGUCACAAUUUAUUUUGACGCAGCUUUUGACCAAUAAGCCUUCAGAUCGGCCUUAGGACUAAUAGUACGAGACGCGGAAAGAAGAAUUCUAGCAUUAAAGACGACCAUCCAUUUUGAAAUCGCAAAUCCAUUUGUGGUAGAGGCGUAUACAGGGUUACAAGCAGUCAAGUUAAGGUUAUUCAUGGGUCUUAAUAAACUGGAAUUUUUGGGAGAUUCAAAGACUGUAAUUAAAAAAUGCCAGAACACAGAGAUAGACAAAUCGAACAUCGGUGUGAUCAUCAGAGAUAUUCAGCGUAAGAAAGGUAGAUUUCAAGAGAUAAAGUUUCAUUUCAUACCCAAAACAGAAAAUUUCUACGCUCAUACUUUGGCGAAAGAGGCGCUAAAGAGAGGAGAUAACCAUUACCUGGUAGGAGGACUUCCAAAAUUUGCUCGCCAAGUAUCGGAAGAAUGGAGGCGUAGAGAAUCGGAUUGAAAGAAAAUGGAGAUGAAUGACCGUUUGGAAGAGGUAAUAGGAAAAAUUAAUUGCUGCCCUUGGAAACUGUUACCGUCACAAUGUUGGAGAGGGCAUGAAAAGACGACACAUUGAAGAUCCAGCUGUGGAUUUGACUGGACAAGACUUAUUAGGUUUCUUGUUUUGUUUUUUUAAUUUUUCAGAUUCAUGGACCAUUUAAUUUUAUUAGGCCGGCUUUGCUAUAUGUGCAAGCUUUGUA